UUGAACGCUGGCGGCAUGCCUUACACAUGCAAGUCGAACGGUAACGCGGGGCAACCUGGCGACGAGUGGCGAACGGGUGAGUAAUGCAUCGGAACGUGCCCAGUAGUGGGGGAUAGCCCGGCGAAAGCCGGAUUAAUACCGCAUACGACCCAAGGGUGAAAGCGGGGGAUCGCAAGACCUCGCGCUAUUGGAGCGGCCGAUGUCAGAUUAGGUAGUUGGUGGGGUAAAAGCCUACCAAGCCUGCGAUCUGUAGCUGGUCUGAGAGGACGACCAGCCACACUGGGACUGAGACACGGCCCAGACUCCUACGGGAGGCAGCAGUGGGGAAUUUUGGACAAUGGGCGAAAGCCUGAUCCAGCCAUGCCGCGUGCGGGAAGAAGGCCUUCGGGUUGUAAACCGCUUUUGUCAGGGAAGAAAUCUCUCGGGCUAAUACCCUGAGGGGAUGACGGUACCUGGAGAAUAAGCACCGGCUAACUACGU
rnacentral:rRNA from 1 species